rnacentral:rRNA from 1 species
UACGGGGGGGGCAAGCGUUGUUCGGAAUUACUGGGCGUAAAGGGCUAGUAGGCGGCCGACUAAGUCGGAUGUGAAAUCCCUCGGCUCAACCGAGGAACUGCGUCUGAUACUGGAAGGCUUGAAUCCGGGAGAGGGAUGUGGAAUUCCAGGUGUAGCGGUGAAAUGCGUAGAUAUCUGGAGGAACACCGGUGGCGAAGGCGGCAUCCUGGACCGGCAUUGACGCUGAGGCGCGAAAGCCAGGGGAGCAAACGGG